UACGGAGGGUGCAAGCGUUAAUCGGAAUUACUGGGCGUAAAGCGUGCGUAGGCGGUUCGUUAAGUCUGUUGUGAAAGCCCCGGGCUCAACCUGGGAAUGGCAAUGGAUACUGGCGAGCUAGAGUGUGUCAGAGGAUGGUGGAAUUCCCGGUGUAGCGGUGAAAUGCGUAGAGAUCGGGAGGAACAUCAGUGGCGAAGGCGGCCAUCUGGGACAACACUGACGCUGAGGCACGAAAGCGUGGGGAGCAAAC
rnacentral:rRNA from 1 species